ensembl:lncRNA
CGGAGGGAAUCCGACUCCCACGGCCUCUUUACCUUCGGAGAGACGUCCGACAAUGACUGUGAGGUGAGGCUGUUUAUUUAUACCUGCUACCGGCGUACCUCUUAGAUCUGCAUGUGGCUCUAAAGUAGGCUGCAGUUGACACAAAAUGUAACCGAAGGAACCCACAGGUCCAGUUGCUGAACACGUAAUAGCCCAACUUUUUGACUUAAUUGUGUUAUUUUUUUUCCUUUUAAUAACUCUAGUGUUCAGCACUUGGCAGUCAAGCAUUUUUAAGUGAGUAGGCAGAUAAUGUCAAAAGCCAGAAAUCUCUCCUCUGAGCCGUUGACAGAGAUAUGAAAACUUUUGCCAAUGAUAUCCAACAGCCAGGCUCAUCCCAGGUCAUGUGACAGUGAUAUUGCUGGACCUUAUGUAAGUUUGUACAAGCUUCUUACUCCUUCCCUUUAUCUCUGUCAUUAUGCUGCUGUCUAAGGAUAAAAGGGACCAGAAGCUUCAUCAAGUCAGCAGAUCACAGUUGUUUAUCCUCCCUGUCUUUGUCUCUCUGUCUUAGAUGGGGGUGAGCUGCAGAGAGGUAGAUGUAGCGUGUCUGUGCGAGGCCGGUCCCUGUACACUUUAUUCAGAAGCACACACGCCUACGCCGGACACGCGGCUGUGUGAACGCUGUGGAAAAAACAAAGUGAUGGUAACCAGGUACUCUGAGGGAUACGGCACAGAGGAGGAGUGUGUGUUAUCUGACCCUCAGGGGGAGAGUGACGCAGAUGCGGAUAUAGAGGAUACAGACUGCAGACUCCAGGAGCCUGGUUCUCUCCAGCGAAUCAGCUCACGGAGACGGAAACGUCCUCGAGUAGCGCGACAAGACACCACGGAGAGCGAGGAUGAUGGCGGGCGAAGCCAUAGAUCCCAUCGAUGGAAUCUGAGGCUUAGUCCUGACAGAGCACACAGCAGAACCAUACUCGAGGAGAGCAUAUCACAGGUCAGGCCACUGAUCAUUUGCAGGCCAAACGUGGAGAAGCAGAAGAGUCCUGAUGAGGUGACCCGAGGCUCCAAACUGACGUCUCUGUGGCCGUCGUCCUUCUCUCUUCCUCUUAUCCUCCUCCUGUCAUUACCUCUCUCUGUUUCUCUCAUUGUUUUUAUCGUGUCUUUCCUCCUUCCGUGGGCCAGUGCUUGACCCCCGCCAUGCCUGCUUCAGGAUAUUAGUUUCAUUCCAGAAAUGACAGAAAGUUCUACCGACUCAUAUAAUGUAGUGGAUAGCGUAAUUUCUUUAUAAACGAGUAGAAAGACUUGAAGAUAAUAAUAGAUUAGCAAUACUGAAUUUGUGUUCAAUGUUUCUUUUCCUCCUUUCUUUAAAUAUCUUGACUUUAAGCGAAGGUCGUCCCUCGAAACCAAAAAGGCACUGAGAAACUUUCAUAACGCGGCGCAUUUUGAUCGAGAAUGUGCUCACAGUGAACACAACACAAACUCAGCUCCUGCCUCUGUCUCAUAAAAUCUCACCUUCCGUCUCACUUUUCCUCACCCCCUCGUUUGUAAAAAUAGACCUCUCAUCUUGCUCCUUAUUCUAACAAGCCACUGGAGUGACACAGAGGGGGGGGGGCGAGGUUUUAUGGCUGUGCAGGUACUUUUAAAAAGGAAACUAGGAGGCUCGGUAGGAAAACCUGCGAAAGACAAUGCUGCCGAACUAUGCAAUCCCUCUGUUUGUACCGCGGCAUCUUAACUGCUGUUCGAGUACGUCUCCUAUGUCCUUGGCACUGUCGACACCUUCGUGGCCCCCCGUCCCCUUUUCUUCCUCUGAGGAGUACAGUUUGUGAAUGCAGGGACUCGAUGGUUCCAAAGUAGAGCGUGACCCAAUUUAAAAAGCAUUACCAGGAGAGAUCUGAUACAGCUCCCAUCGUGUAUGAUCUACAGCACAUCUGUUAUAACGAAUAAAUUACAUGUAUUAAUUUACGCGCCGCAGACCUCAAAAUAAAACGAGCUUUGGUGGCAGUGUGUUACAGGAGUUUGGACACUAUUUCACAGUCUUACAUUCAUAUUUAAGAAUGCUUAUGUAAAUUAUGAUUUAAGAGGACUAAGCUUGACAAUCAGUCAUGCUGUUUAUUUCAAGCUGGAAUAUCUAGAAAACGCCAUCUUUUGGCUAUGUUUGUACUGUACAUUUCAUUUUAUGUUGUUUUGUAUGUGUUUUGAAGUUAGGGUUGUUUUUUCUUCUUCCACACGUCACACUACUGAUGCUUGCUUGCCUGUAGAAAAAUGAUCAUUUUAGGUUAAUAUCAGGUUGCACUGUCUUAACUGGUUAGUUUUAGAGAUUUUUCUCUCCUAGUUUGUUGUCAUGUUGUAGUCUUACAUCUUAUUUCUAUAUGUGUUUAUCUCUGUUUCAUGGGGCCCAGAAAUUCAAUAAAACUAGAUUGUAUUUUGACAACAAAA